ACAAGGAAGUGCAAAAAUAGACGUUUACAAAUAUCCAACAAAAUGCUAAAGAAAUUACAAUCUAAAGUUUCCAUCACAUUUCACAGUCGAUAAGAAAGAUGAUGGAGGGCAUGAGGAGAAACCUUUUUCUGGCGAGGUAAGGAGAAAAAGAGUGAUGACAUUGAAGUGAGGGCUAUAAGGUGACAGUGUCAACGCGAGCGUUGUGAAGCGACAGCAUAGAGGUGAGGUUGUGAGGCAACGAGAUGGGGUGAGGAGUGAGGACGCCAAGAGGCAAGAUGAAGGAUCGAUGAAGACGUGUAAUGCCCUAACAGAGGAAUGGAUAAAGGUGAGAUCGUGAGAGAAAAGUGAGGGCUCCAGAGAUCUUUUCAGAUUUUGAAACAAGAGAUAAAUUUUGAGGGGUUGAAGGCGUUUGUGAAGUGGUGAGGGUUUAUGAAUGAUCAAUUCGGUAUGAUUAUUUCGAUUUUUUUAAUCUUUAUAAGCGAAUCAAAUUAAAAACCUAAAAUUUUGUUUCCACCUUUUUAACCUUUCUUUUUUUAUUUUAUUUUGAUGAUUGAAGAACUGUGAUUGAUUGAAACAUACCUUAAGCUGGUCAUUCAACUUUGAUAAACUAUUACAUAUAUACAUAUGUAGCAGACCUCAAACAUUUCUUAUGAUUGAUAACAAUACAAUCUUAAGCCAAAAAUUAAUGGCAAGAACUUGUACUCCCUUUGCCAUUGCAGCUUUAUCACUUCACAUUGUCUUGUCUUGCUCUGCUUCUGUAGCAUCACUCAGCAUCAGCAGCGAACAAGAUGCUCUUCUUGCACUCAACAACAUAUCACUCUCGACCCUCUAAAUUAUCUGGCUACCAACUGGUCUACCAGUGUCUCAGUAUGCAGCUGGAUUAGCGUCUCUUGUGACCAUACGAAUCAUAGAGUCACAGCUCACAAUCUCUCUCUCAUGGGUCUUAUGGGCACCAUCCCUCCACGCAUAGGGAAUCUAUCUUUCCUCUCUGAGCUAAGUCUCACCAGCAAUACUUUCCAUGGCCCUCUGCCAUCUGAGCUGCCUCAUCUUCCUCAGCUGAGACACAUCAACUUGGGAUCAAACAAUUUUAGCCAAGAGAUCCCACCUUGGAUUGGCUCAUUACCGAAACUUGAAGAACUAUAUCUGGAUGAUAACAAUUUCUUAGAUAUUAUCCCACCUUCCUUGUUCAACAUUUCGACACCUAAAAACUUUGCAGCUGAUGAACAAUAACCUACAAGGAAACAUCUCUGAGGAGAUUGGCAAUUUAGCCAACCUGAAGACAAUCAACUUGAAUGGUAACCAGAAGAUUUGCGGGUUCAUUGCCAUGGACUAUUUUCAACAUUUCUUGUUUGAGAAUUAUUGAUUUGGCGAACAAUAAUAUAUUUGGUAGUCUACCAGAUGAUGUGUAAAAAUCUUCCAAAUCUUGAGAGACUUUUUGUUGAUCACAAUCAACUGGUUGGACGGAUUCCAUCAAGUUUAGGGCAAUGUAAAAAGCUGCUUCGUGUGUAUCUGAACGAUAAUGAUUUCACCGGAAACAUUCCAACAAUUCUCGGAAAUCUGACAUUGCUUAAGAUCUCUAUCUAGGCUUCAGUAACUUGACAGGAGAAGUACCGGGGGAAAUAGGUUCUCUUCAUACACUCUUCCAACUUCAAUUGGUAAUUUCUCUGCUAUACAAUAUUUCAAUGUAGAAAGUUGCAACAUGAAAGGCAGCAUACCAAGAGAAGUAGGCCUUACGAGCAACCUCACAACCUUACUCCUGCAAAACAAUGAAUUCAUAGGAUCAAUUCCUGCCACAAUUGGUAGAUUGCAUAAGCUCCAAGUUUUAUGCCUUAAAUAAGUUGAAUGGUUCCCUGCCAAAUGAGUAGAUUGGGAUAAUUAUUUUUGAGUCGAAACAACCUCUCUGGAACUCUACCAGCUUCCUCUCUGGAACUCUAACAGCUUGCCUGGUGGAUGCUAGCUCACUAAGAAUUCUGCACUUAGAUUCCAACAAUUUUAUUUCUACAAUACCUUCUACUUUAUGGAACCUAAAAGAUAUCCUGUAUUUGAACUUGUCAUCAAAUUCUCUGAGUGGCCACCUACCUCCAAGUAUUGGAAAUCUGAAGGUUGUAAAAAAAAUAAAUUUAUCAAAUAAUCACUUUUCUGGUAUCAUUCCGGAUUCCCUUGGGGACCUCCAAAGCCUGAUGAUACUCUCUUUAAGACAUAACAAUUUUGAAGGCCCUAUUCCCUAAACAUUUGGAAACUUGAUCAGCCUGGAAGCCUUGGAUUUGGCCAAUAACAAUCUGUUAGGAACAAUUCCCAUGUCCCUGGAUGGACUCAAGUAUCUCAAACAUCUCAACAUUUCUUUCAAAAAAUUAGAAGAAGUUCCCACAGCUGGAGCUUUUGCAAAUUUUUCAGUUCAGUCAUUUUUGGGAAACUAUGCACUUUGUGGCAGUCUGUUUAAUUUUACACCAUGUAAAAUUAGUAUUCAUGGAAGUUACAAGACUGCCACCAAGCAAAUACUAGUAUAUAUUCUUCCUGCUAUCAUGUUGACAAUAGUUGUCAUUAUUGUCUCUUUAAGAUGUCGAAAGGCAAAAAUUAAGUUGAAAACUGUUGCUGAUCAAGAUCUUGUAAUUGUGGCAACAUGGAGAAGACAAUUCCUUCCAAGAACUUCAACAGGCAACAGAUGGAUUUUGUAGCAGCAACAUAAUUGGUACAGGAGGUUAUGGUACUGUAUAUAAAGGAACACUUGGGGAUGAGAAGGAUGUUGCAAUAAAGGUUUUCAAUUUGCAACUUGAAGGAGCAUUUAAGAGUUUUGAUGUAGACUGUGAGGUACUGAGCAAUACCCGCCACCGAAAUCUUGUCAAAAUUAUAAGUUGUUGCUCUAACCUUGACUUCAAAGCAUUGGUUUUUUAUUACAUGCCAAAUGGGAGCUUGGAAAAGUGGUCGUAUUCUCAUAAUCAUUUUUUGGAUAUCCAUCGAAGGCUAGACAUGACGAUAGAUGUUGCAUCAGCAUUGGAAUAUCUUCAUCAUGGCUUUUCUAGACCUAUUGUUCAUUGUGAUUUGAAGCCAAGCAGUGUCCUGCUAGAUGCAGAUGGUUGCUCAUGUAGCUGAUUUUGGCAUCGCCAAGCUCUUAGGCGAAGGAAAUUCUAUGAAACAAACAAGAACCUUGGCUACUAUUGGGUAUAUGGCAACAGAGUAUGGAUCAGAAGACCUUGUUUCCACAAAAAGGGGAUGUGUAUAGCUUUGGAAUACUAUUAAUGGAGUCAUAUUUGGUGGAAGAAUGAGCUUGAAGCAAUAUAUAAAGGAAGCAUUACCAGAUGCAGUAGCUGAAAUAGCAGAUGCUAAUUUGCAGGUAAAGGAGGAACAUUUUGCAGUUAAGAAAGAUUGUAUAUCAUUAAUUUUAGGAUUGGCAGUGGAUUGCUGCAUUGAUGUUCCUGAUGAGAGAAUUGACAGUCAACACUCAAUCACAUCAGAACUCGAUUCCUAGCUAGUUUAGCAAAGACAUAAUGAUAUCUAUUGUACAAUUAAACAGCAGAAGUAUCAGACACUAAAAAUAAUCCAAGAAUAAAUUGAA